rnacentral:rRNA from 1 species
UACGGAGGGUGCGAGCGUUGUCCGGAAUCACUGGGCGUAAAGGGCGCGUAGGCGGCGCGGAUAGUCGGCGGUGAAAGCCCGGAGCUCAACUCCGGGUCGGCCGUCGAUACUUCCGGGCUUGAGCACUGUAGAGGCAGAUGGAAUUCCGGGGUGUAGCGGUGGAAUGCGUAGAGAUCCGGAAGGACACCGGGUGGCGAAGGCGGUCUGCUGGGCAGUUGCUGACGCUGAUGCGCGACAGCGUGGGGAGCAACAGG